ensembl:lncRNA
AGCAGGCAUCAAGAAUGACUCCUUGGCCGGAUCCCAACUGAGAAGCUGCUGGCUUAUCAUGGCCAGGCUAGAAGAAUUGGUACAGAACUUUGGCCAAGCAGAGCUCCUGCCCCAAUUUCUCCCAGGCUUGCUCAUCUACAGAUCAUGGUGAUUCUCUUGUCUUCAGCAGAUUGCUACUCGAAUUAUGGUCAUGAUUCAAACUGGGGUUUCCAUGAUUCCCUGAAGAAUGGUUUGCAAUCAAAUUGGACUCACAUCGAGAAUAUGGUCUAUUAUUCCCUUUCUGAAUCACAUCAUCUUCUGAAACUCCAGGAUUUUUUCAAAGUUUAAUACAUUUUUUUGUAGGAUGAAAAUGGCUGGCACACAUAUAAUCCUUGGUUUCGGAAAAGAUAUUGUCAUUCAUUAGCUGCUGGUUUGACAUUUCAUAGUUANCAUCGUUACUAUAUAGUAAAUGGUGAUGUCAGUCAAUUACUUCAUUCUUAGACUGUUCAUUUUCAAUGCCAGAAUAGCAUCUAAUGUUCUCAUGUUGGAAUUUCCACUUCAUAUUAAUGGGGAGUAGUUUCACUCACUUAUGUAAGUGUUGUAAGUAUUUGUUGGUUAUGGAAAUAUUGUCAGAGAGAAUUUAUUUUAUUUAAGAAUUUAUAUCCCACCCUUCACUAGAAGAUCCCAGGGUGGAUCACAAUAGUAAAAAGAUAAAUUUAUUAAAAUGGACAUUUAUAAAGCAUUUGACUCUGUGAAUCAUGAAUAUCUAAAUAAGAUAUGUAGGAAGUUUGAUUUGGGAGAAAAAUUUUCAAAAACGAUAACAGAAUUAUACAAAGAUAAUAUUGCUUGGCUCAGAGUCAAUGGAAUUAAAUCAUGAAACUUUAAAAUAGAAAAUGGUACAAGACAAGGAUGCCCACUAUCCCCCCUCCUUUUUGUUCUAGCCAUGGAACCAUUUGCUAAUGAGAUAAGAGAGACUAGACAGUGGUCAGGUUAUAGAUUAGCAGAAAAUGAGAUUAGAUUAAAUUAAAUUUGUUUGUAGAUGAUGCAAUAUUAGCAAUGGGACAGCCAGCAGAAAUGAUUAAAUCCAUGAAAGAUUUAAUUGAAAAUUUUNAAAAAAAGUUCAGGAUUAAUUAUAAAUAUGGAUAAGUGAGAAAUAAUGAUAUUUAAUACAGCCCCCAAAGAACAGGAUAAUAUUAGGAAGGCCACAGGGAUGAAGAUGGGUAUAAAGAAGAUUAAAUAUUUGGGAGUUUACAUUUUAAAAAAUGUGGACAAGAUAGCAGUAGGGAACUACAAUCAAGUUUGGGGGAAAAAAAUAAGCAAGUCAUAGAAUGGAAGAAGAAAAAUAUGAGUAUUUUAUUUAAAAUCAGGGCUUUAAAAAUGCUGAUAGUACCCAAAUUAUUAUAGUUAUUUCAGGUUCUUCCAGAAUUAGUUUCUAUAUAAACCUUGGGGCAAUGGGAUAGAAAAACAGCUAGGUGCGUAUUUGGAGAUAAAAAGCCAAGAGAGAGAAAGAUGCUUUUACAUGCACACCAACGGGGAGGUGGCUGGGGAAUUCCAAAUAUGGCAGAAUAUUUUAAAGCAUUCCAAAUUCAAGGAUUAUUAGAAUUAGAAUUAGAUAAAAAUAAAAAAAUGGGUGAAAAUUGAAAAGGGGUGUAA